AGAGUUUGAUCCUGGCUCAGGACGAACGCUGGCGGCAUGCCUAAUACAUGCAAGUCGAGCGGACUUGAUGAGAAGCUUGCUUCUCUGAUAGUUAGCGGCGGACGGGUGAGUAACACGUAGGCAACCUGCCCUCAAGCUUGGGACAACUACCGGAAACGGUAGCUAAUACCGAAUACUUGUUUUCUUCGCCUGAAGAGAACUGGAAAGAUGGAGUAAUCUAUCACUUGAGGAUGGGCCUGCGGCGCAUUAGCUAGUUGGUGAGGUAACGGCUCACCAAGGCGACGAUGCGUAGCCGACCUGAGAGGGUGAUCGGCCACACUGGGACUGAGACACGGCCCAGACUCCUACGGGAGGCAGCAGUAGGGAAUCUUCCGCAAUGGGCGAAAGCCUGACGGAGCAAUGCCGCGUGAGUGAUGAAGGUUUUCGGAUCGUAAAGCUCUGUUGCCAGGGAAGAACGCUUAGGAGAGUAACUGCUCCUGAGGUGACGGUACCUGAGAAGAAAGCCCCGGCUAACUACGUGCCAGCAGCCGCGGUAAUACGUAGGGGGCAAGCGUUGUCCGGAAUUAUUGGGCGUAAAGCGCGCGCAGGCGGUCAUUUAAGUCUGGUGUUUAAUCCCGGGGCUCAACCCCGGAUCGCACUGGAAACUGGGUGACUUGAGUGCAGAAGAGGAGAGUGGAAUUCCACGUGUAGCGGUGAAAUGCGUAGAGAUGUGGAGGAACACCAGUGGCGAAGGCGACUCUCUGGGCUGUA
rnacentral:rRNA from 1 species